ACACUUACCUGGCAUGGCAGAUACCAUAAUCAUGAAGGUAGUUUUCCCAGGGCAAGGCUUAUCCAUUGCACUCCAGAUGUGCUGACUCGUGUGAUUUACCCAAAUGUAGGAAACUCGACUGCAUAAUUUGUGGUAGUGGGGGACUACAUUCGCUCUGUUCCCUG